UAUCUUUAAUUGUUUUUUUACAUGAUCAACUUUGUUAGAGGAUGGAAGACAUUUAAUUUGAUGACUCUUUUAAGUUCCCAUGUCAACACAUUACUUUGGUUGCUUAGUUGAUAAGGACGAAGGCUUAGGCUUAAUGAAUUGUUUCGGAAGAAGGUGAUCUAAUUUAUAUAUCUUUCUACAAUUGUGGUCUAUCCUUGUGUUUCGCAUUU
rnacentral:lncRNA from 1 species